rnacentral:lncRNA from 1 species
UGCAUUGUGUGCAUGAGUGUGUACAUAUAUUUUUGUGUGUGCAUGUGUGUGCAUGUGUAUGACUGUGUGUAGGCAGGAGUGUAUUUGCAUGUGUGUACAUGUGAAUGCAUAUGUGUGCAUGUGUGUAAUUACGUGGGUGGGCAUGGUGUGUGUAAAUGUGUGUGCACAAGUGUGUGAGGGCGUGUGUGCAUGUGUGGUGUGUGUACCUGUGUGCAUGUGUGUGUAAUUGCAUGUGUGCAUGGUGUGUGUAAAUGUGUGUGCACAAUGUGUGAGGGUAUGUGCAUGUGCGCUGUAUGUACCUGUGUGCACGUGUGUAAUCACACGUGAGUGUGCAUGGCACAUGUAAAUGUGUGUGCACAAGUGUGUGGG